AACCCCUACCCAGUAUUGAAUGAAUCUAUAAUAUAUAUAGAAAGCUAUAUGCUAGAACUAGUAAUAAGAAGAAGACCUUCUCCAAAAUAUAAGUGUGAGCCGAAAUGAACACCUCACCGGCACAUAACGCAACUGAGUCAAUAGUAAUAAACCCACAAGAAAACUUUACCAAAACACGCGUCAACCUUACACCAGUAUAUUACCGGAAAGAUUAAAAAAGAGGGAAGGAACUCGGCAAAUCUUAACCCCGCCUGUUUACCAAAAACAUCGCCUUUUGAAAAAAUAUAAAAGGUCCAGCCUGCCCAGUGACAAAAUUAAACGGCCGCGGUACCCUGACCGUGCAAAGGUAGCACAAUCACUUGUUCUUUAAAUAGGGACUAGUAUGAACGGCAUCACGAGGGUUAUACUGUCUCCCCUCUCUGAUCAAUGAAACUGACCUCCCCGUGAAGAGGCGGGGAUAAUAAUAUAAGACGAGAAGACCCCAUGGAGCUUAAAAAUCAGCACCAACUACCUAACCCCACACCACCCCAAUCCCGGUAGCCAUGGUCCCUGACUUUCGGUUGGGGCGACCGCGGAGUAAAACAAAACCUCCACGAUGAAUGGACUAACCACCCUAAUCAUAGAGCCACAACUCAAAGAAUCAAGAAAUUGACACAACUGACCCAAUAGCUUUGAUCAACGAACCAAGUUACCCUGGGGAUAACAGCGCAAUCUACUUCAAGAGCCCCUAUCGACAAGUAGGUUUACGACCUCGAUGUUGGAUCAGGGUAUCCUAGUGGUGCAGCCGCUACUAAUGG
rnacentral:rRNA from 1 species